rnacentral:rRNA from 1 species
AAUUUUGGACAAUGGGGGCACCCCUGAUCCAGCUAUCCCGCGUGUGCGAUGAAGGCCUUCGGGUUGUAAAGCACUUUUGGCAGGGAAGAAAAGGCUCUGGCUAAUACCUGGAGCUGCUGACGUUACCUGCAGAAUAAGCACCGGCUACCUACGUGCCUGCAGCCGCGGUAAUACGUAGGGUGCAAGCGUUAAUCGGAAAUACUGGGGGUAAAGCGUGCGCAGGCGGUUCGGCAAGAAGGAUGUGAAAUACCAGGGCUUAACCUUGGAAAUGCAUUCUUAACUGCCGGGCGAGAGUAUGUCAGAGGGGGGUAGAAUUCCGCGUGUAGAAGUGAAAUGCGUAGAGAUGCGGAGGAAUACCGAUGGCGAAGGCAGCCCCCUGGGAUAAUACUGACGCUCAUGCACGAAAGCGUGGGGAGCAAACA